rnacentral:rRNA from 1 species
AGCUCCAAUAGCGUAUAUUAAAGUUGUUGCAGUUAAAAGCUCGUAGUUGGAUUUCUGGCAGGAUGACUUCGCCCUCAGUAGAGUGUGCGGAGCCGUCUUACCAUCCUUCUGUUAACCCUUGAGUCCUUCACGGUCUCCUGGGGGCUCAGAUAUUUUACCUUGAGAAAAUUAGAGUGUUUCAGGCAGGCUAGCGCCGGAAUACAUUAGCAUGGAAUAAUGGAAUAGGACUUUUGCCUCUUCUGUUGGUCUGAGGGGUUCGAGUAAUGAUUAAUAGGGAUAGUUGGGGGCAUUAGUACUUCACUGUCAGAGGUGAAAUUCUCGGAUUUGUGAAAGACUAACUUAUGCGAAAGCAUUUGCCAAGGAUGUUUUCA